UAAGGCUUUAAGUUAAGCAAACUAUUAGCCUUCAAAGCUGAAAAUAAAAUUUUAAAUUUAAGCCUUAA
rnacentral:tRNA from 1 species